AGUUCGAUUCUGGCUCAGAUUGAACGCUGGCGGGAUGCUUUACACAUGCAAGUCGAACGGCAGCACGGACUUCGGUCUGGUGGCGAGUGGCGAACGGGUGAGUAAUGUAUCGGAACGUGCCUAGUAGCGGGGGAUAACUACGCGAAAGCGUAGCUAAUACCACGCAUACGCCCUUCGGGGGAAAGCGGGGGACCUUCGGGCUCGCACUAUUAGGAAGCGGCCGAUAUCGGAUUAGCUAGUUGGUGGGGUAACGGCUCGCAAGGCGACGAUCCGUAGCUGGUUUGAAGGACGACCAGCCACACUGGGACUGAGACACAGCCCAGACUCCUACGGGAGGCAGCAGUGGGGAAUUUACCUGGACAAUGGGGAAACCUGAUCCAGCCAUCCCGCGUGUGCGAUGAAGGCCUUCGGGUUGUAAAGCGCACCGGCGGGAAAAACGGCGCGGGAUAUUACCCGUGCAGCUGACAGUACCUGCAGAAUAAGCGCCAGCUACUACGUGCCAGCAGCCGCGGUAAUACGUAGGGUGCAAGCGUUAAUCGGAAUUACUGGGCGUAAAGCGUGCGCAGGCGGUUCGGAAAGAAGAUGUGAAAUCCCAGAGCUUAACUUUGGAACUGCAUUUUUAACUAAAACUAGAGUGUAUUCAGAGGAGGUGGAAUUCCGCGUGUAGCCAGCAGUGAAAUGCGUAGAUAUGCGGAGGAACACCAUUACGAUAGCGAAGGCAGCCUCCUGGGGAUGGCAACACUGACGCUCCAUGCACGAAAGCGUGGGGAGCAAAGCAAACGGGAUUAGAUACCCUGGUAGUCCACGCCCUAAACGAUGUCAACUAGCUGUUUUGGGAAGCCUUCGGGCAGCGAGUAGCGCAGCUAACGCGUGAAGUUGACCGCCUACCAAAAGAAAUACGGUCGCAAGAUUAAAACUCAAAGGAAUUGACGGGGACCCACUCAAGCGGUGGAUGAUGUGGAUUAAUUCGAUGCAACGCGAAAAGAAAGAAUAGCCUUACCUACCCUUGACAUGUGUCUGGAAUCCCGAGAUUUGGGGUAUAGCAAGAGAACCGGAACACAGGUGCUGCAUGGCUGUCGUCAGCUGGCUCGUGUCGUGAGAUGUUGGGUUGGGAAGUCCCGCAACGAGGCGCAACCCUUGUCAUUUAGCAGUUGCUACGAAAGGGCACUCUAAUGCACAGGACUGCCGGUAUUUGAUGGAAACCGGAGGAAGGUGGGGAUGAUGACGUCAAGUCCUCAUGGCGUAGCCCUUAUGGGUAGGGCUUCGUCCUUCGGUCGGGACAGAGGGGUCGCCAACCCGCGAGAGGCCAAUCCAGAAGAGAGGGAAACCGAUCGUAGGAAGGAGGAAGUCCGGAUCGCAGUGAUAAGUCUGCAACUCUGCGUGAAGUCGGAAUCGCUAGUAAUCGCGGAUCGGCAUGUCGCGGUGAAUGCGUUCCCGGGUCUUGUACACACCCGUGUCGCACCAUGGGAGUGGGUUUUACCAAGUAGUUAGCCUAACCGUAAGGAGGGCGAUUACCACGAGUAGGAUUCAUGACUGGGGUGAAGUCGUAACAAGGUAG
rnacentral:rRNA from 1 species